ensembl:lncRNA
GGAAAUUUUUCCCAUUGAUGGUCAGGGUGAGUACAGGUCAUUGGGCUCCUAUUGACUGUAUCCAAUAAAUAUCUGAAGAGUCGAAUCCAGCAUCUCCUCUUUUUUCUCUUUUUGCUACAUUAUUUGUUAGCAUUUGAGGGAGCAACAGCAGCUGCGCUAUACAUUGUCUCGCUUGUAUCACAGAAAUCCCAGUAGGUGAAUGAGUCAUAAUCUUAAUUUCUCCAGUGAAACCCCCAUCUAUGACCCCGGGAGCAACCAGAAUACCAUUCACAGUAGCGCUACUUCGACCUAAAAGUAAGCCUAUCAUCUCUGAUGGUAGAGGCCCAUAAACUCCAGUAGGUAGGGCCUGCAUCCCCAUUUCUGUGGUUAAUACUGUGAAGGCAGAGGGACUGAGGUCCAGUCCAGUCCUGUGCUGCCUGCGGUUGCUCUGAAGAGGUCCUGAAUGGAUUUCCUUGCUGGGGAACGAAUGUUUGAAGUGCCCCAUAACAUUGUCGCGGGGCCUGGGGCGGGCCCCUCCUCCCGUUUCCCUGCGGGAGAAUAUUUCCCAUGGCAUCCUUUUUAGAUUUACACUCAUUAGCCCAAUGAUUGCCUCUUUUGCACCUGGGACACAAUCCAGGCCCAUUUUCUUUCCCUGCAUUGUUUGAAUUGGCUAGAGGAGUCUUAUUAGGACAUUGCCGCACCUGAUGGCCUAUUUGACCAUAUCCAAAUCAACUCCCUGGUGGACCCGGAACCCUGCCUUUGGGAUUUCUCUUUUGUUGUUGGAACAACACUUCCUUAACUGUUCUUCCCUGCAAAGCUGCUGCCAUAGCAAGGCCCUGAGUAUAAGCAAAUGUCAGCACACAUUCUGAUAUAAUCUGAAAUGGUGCCUUUCUUUCUAAAUGGUCUUAGGGCUGCCUGGCAGGCGGUAUUGGCAUUUUCAUAAGCCAGUUGUUUGACCAGUAACAAUCCCGCAUUGGAAUCUCCCAGCAAUCUACUGGCAGUCUGCAUUAACCUGGCUACAAAGUCUUGAAAAGGCUCAUCAGGUCCCUGCCUAAUUUUGGAUAAAUCUUCUGUCUGCCUACCUGUAGAAGGCAGCUUCUGCCAUGCCCGCUUGGCAGCGGUAUUGACCUGUGCAUAUACUCCUGCGGGAAACAAUAAUUGAUUGGCGAGGUCCGCAUAUCGCCCUUCUCCUGCCAGCAUGUUAUAAUCAAUAUCAUUUCUAUUAGCCUGAUUUAAUUCAGCUGUUCUUUGACACAGCUCCGAAAAUUCUGUUUUCCAAAGGAGGUACUCUGCCCCAGACAGGCAUGCCUUAGCAAGCUGUUUUCAAUCUCUGGGAGGCAGCGCCUCCAUGCUCAAUGAUUCUAACAUAGCCUGAGUAAAAGGUGCGGUAGGGCCAUAUUGCGCACAUGCCAUUUUUAACUCUUUGAGUUGCUUAAAAGGAAUCGGUCGAUGGAUUCUGACCAUAUUCCCUUGAGCAUCAGCUUCCUCAAAUACUGGACAAGCUAAAUGAAAGCCCUGGGUAUCUUCCCCUCUGUCAACCGCAUGUUGCAGGGUAGCUUGUAAUAGCGACAGAGACCGAGAGUUGACAGACAAAGGCCUGGGUCCUGGGGGAUGUUUGAUCAUGGCUAUAAGAGGGUCAGUUUUUUUCAUUAAUCUUGGACCUGCAACCAGCGGGGGAUCAAGACCAGCAAUUAUACUAGGAACUAUUCCUCCCUCGCCCUGAGUCUUCUGGUCUUCCUCUUCCACCGUUAAGCCUGUCUGCCACAGCUGACAAAGAGACUCCAAUCUCUUUUCCAAUCUAGCAAUCCUUUCGGUCAUGUCCUCAUUCGCUGGCUGUCAGGAUUUUUCUGUUUUCCUGGCCACGGCUACGAUAGGGAGAGGGGGAGCAGUCCUCACUGUUAUACCUAGCAGCCUCUUCUUCCAAAUCAUCAGCAUCUCCCGGGCUUAGGGGUCCCUCAUCUGGAAAAAACCCUUCCUUAGUGCAGGCUCUGCAUCAGCAUAUACUGGCAGAGCAGAUGGCUUAGUUUCAUUUUCUGUAGGAGGCGGAGGGACAACCUCGGGAACAUCAGCCUUGUCGGGCUCCUCUGAGGAAGGACUUGAGGAGGGUCCUUCAACCCUCUCUCUCUCUCAUGCCGAGGAUCCAAACUAUCUCUAAUUAAAGCCCAUAAACUAAAAGUAUCUAUAGGGACUUUAGUGGGUCCAUGAUUAUCGUAAUAUUCCUGAAGUCGCUUCCCCACCUUAUUCCAUACUUCUAAAUCUACUGUGCCUUCUUCAGGGAACCAAGGACAAACUUUCUCUACAAAUUCUAAAAAAUUACAUAAUUGUUGAUGCCCUACCUUUGCUCCACGAGACCGAAGCAUAUUUUUAAGCAUAUGUUCAAAAAGCAUUCAGCUGUUACCAAUACCCAUCUUGCUACUCUCGAGUGCAUUCACCGCCCUUAAUUUACUUAUCCGAGCUCACGACCCGCGGUGUCCCUCACUAUGGUCCCCCGUAUUCAGGUCCCUGUUCGGGCGCCACCCGUGACGGAGCCCGCCGUCACUUGUCGAACAGUACCUGAAUGGGAGAGUGAGGAUGAAGAAAAAUAAAGACAAAGAGAUAGAGUCAGGAGGGCUCCCAGAGACCGAGUGCCCAAGUUUUUCUCCUCUCUUUUCUACAACAGUGUCAGCUGCACUUUUAGUUCUGCGCCAGUGUCUCCAGAAUGGAAGGAAUGACUGACUGAAAACUGGUGUUGAGAAGUUUAUCUCAUGAAAUCACUGUGAUACUGCUUACCUGGACACUUUUACUUGCUUCCAGACAGGUAAUAUUUAUGUCAGCAGGAAUGGUGCCC